rnacentral:rRNA from 1 species
UACGUAGGGAGCAAGCGUUGUUCGGAUUUACUGGGCGUAAAGGGCGCGUAGGCGGCGCGGUAAGUCACUUGUGAAAUCUCUGAGCUUAACUCAGAACGGCCAAGUGAUACUGCAGUGCUAGAGUGCAGAAAGGGCAAUCGGAAUUCUUGGUGUAGCGGUGAAAUGCGUAGAUAUCAAGAGGAACACCUGAGGCGAAGGCGGCCCACUGGCUCGAUACUGACGCUGAGGUGCGAAAGCGUGGGGAGCAAACAGG